rnacentral:rRNA from 1 species
UACAGAGGGUGCGAGCGUUAAUCGGAAUUACUGGGCUUAAAGGGUGCGUAGGCGGCGCGGAAAGUAGGGUGUGAAAUCCCUCGGCUCAACCGAGGAACUGCGCUCUAAACUACCGUGCUCGAGGGAGAUAGAGGUGAGCGGAACUGAGGGUGGAGCGGUGAAAUGCGUUGAUAUCCUCAGGAACACCGGUGGCGAAAGCAGCCCCCUGGGCCAACACUGACGCUCAGGCACGAAAGCGUGGGGAGCAAACAGG